GGCGCUAUAGUGUAGUGGUUAUCACUUGGGAUUCUGACUUUCAGUGUUCCCAAAACCCAGGUUCGAGCCCUGGUAGCGCCU
rnacentral:tRNA from 1 species